rnacentral:rRNA from 1 species
AGGGUGAACGCUGGCGGCAGGCCUAACACAUGCAAGUCGAACGGCAGCACAGCAGUAGCAAUACUGUGGGUGGCGAGUGGCGGACGGGUGAGGAAUACAUCGGAAUCUACCUUGUCGUGGGGGAUAACGUAGGGAAACUUACGCUAAUACCGCAUACGAACUAUGGUUGAAAGCGGCGGACCGCAAGGCGUCGCGCGAUUGGAUGAGCCGAUGUCCGAUUAGCUAGUUGCGGGUAAAGGCCCACCAAGGCGACGAUCGGUAGCUGGUCUGAGAGGAUGAUCAGCCACACUGGAACUGAGACACGGUCCAGACUCCUACGGGAGGCAGCAGUGGGAAUAUUGGACAAUGGGGGCAACCCGUGAUCCAGCCAUGCCGCGUGUGUGAAGAAGGCCUUGGUGUAAGCACUUUGUGGGUAAGAAAGCACGUGGUUAAUACCGUUGGUGUCAGUGACGGUAACCCAAAGAAUAAGCACCGGACUAACUUCG